rnacentral:rRNA from 1 species
UACGAAGGGGGCUAGCGUUGCUCGGAAUCACUGGGCGUAAAGCGCACGUAGGCGGCUUACUAAGUCAGGGGUGAAAUCCUGGAGCUCAACUCCAGAACUGCCUUUGAUACUGGUAGGCUUGAGUCCGGGAGAGGUGAGUGGAGCUGCGAGUGUAGAGGUGAAAUUCGUAGAUAUUCGCAAGAACACCAGUGGCGAAGGCGGCUCACUGGCCCGGUACUGACGCUGAGGUGCGAAAGCGUGGGGAGCAAACAGG